AAAGAAACUAACAAGGAUUUUCUUAGUAGCGGCGAGCGAAAAGAAAUCAGUUCAGCACUAAGUCACUUUGUCUUUAUGGCAAAUGUGAGAUGCAGUGUAUGGAACGUCUUAAAUCUAGUAUGAGAAAUUAACGAUUUAAGUCCUUCUUAAAUGAGGCCAUUUACCCAUAGAGGGUGCCAGGCCCGUAUAACGUUAAUGAUUACUAGAAGUCGUUUCCAAAGAGUCGUGUUGCUUGAUAGUGCAGCACUAAGUGGGUGGUAAACUCCAUCUAAAACUAAAUAUAACCAUGAGACCGAUAGUAAACAAGUACCGUGAGGGAAAGUUGAAAAGAACUCUGAAUAGAGAGUUAAAUAGUACGUGAAACUGCUUAGAGGUUAAGCCCGAUGAACCUGAAUAUCCGUUAUGGAAAAUUCAUCAUUAUAAUUGUAAUAUUUAAUAAAUAUUAUUAAUGAUAGUGUGCAUUUUUUCCAUAUAAGGACAUUGUAAUCUAUUAACAUAAAAAUAUUUAUCAAAAAGUCAUAAACAAUAGUUUAUUCAAAUUAUUUUGCUUGCAUUAUAACAUAGAAUAAAUGUUUAUUGAUUUGAUAAAGUGUUGAUAGAUUUAUCAUAUAUACAAUGCGUUAAUUCUACGGAAUUAUAUAAUGGCAUGAUAAUCAUUGAUUUUUGUGUUUAUUAUAUGCAUUUGUAUGAUUAACAAUGCGAAAGAUUCAGGAUACCUUCGGGACCCGUCUUGAAACACGGACCAAGGAGUCUAACAUAUUUGCAAGUCAUUGGGACUUUAUAAACCUAAUGGCAUAAUUAACUUGACUGAGUUAUAAAUGGGAUUAGUUUUUAAAUUUUUUAAAUUUAUUAACACAAUCCCGGGGCG
rnacentral:rRNA from 1 species